GGUUUCACUUGCCAGCCUAGGCUUAAGGCUAAGGAUAUUUUCUAACGGCCUUCGGGAUUUCUACAUGAACGUUUGGAAAACCUAAUUGAAUGCCUGUAAUAUAAUAGUUAACAUGAAAUCCGAUUGCUUCUGAUGUGCCUAGGGAAAUUCUUUAGGCUAUAUGAAGGGUUUUGUGUCAGAAACCUGAAGCCAGAUCCUAGCUGGUGGCUUUGAAACACUUGGAAGUGUGUGGAACUUUUCCUGCACAUAUGCCUCCUGUGCACUGCACACGGUGAUAUAGAGAUCAGAAAGACAGCACUGUAUCAUGGGAACUGGAGUUACACAUAAUUGUUACAUACCAGAUGAGCUUGAGCUACACACAGAGUUCUUCUGCUUUGCUAUAAAGGCAAUGCUGCUCCUCUUUUUGGCUGUAUGUUUUGCUGUUCCAUGAAAAUUCUAGAGUCUGCUAAAGAAUGAACUAAUAGGGAAUUUGGGAUUAGGGGCUUCUGAGAGAAGAAGGUGAGGAGUUGAGACACUUAUCUCCCUCUGAGAGCUCCAAAAACUCCAUUACUCGGACUGGACUUAUUGUUACGGAGAAGGGAAGUCAAAGGGUGGACAGGAUCCUAACUAGAUCUGACGUGCUGAGCUCUGAUUUGUAGGGGAUCUGAAAAGACAACAUUGUGGACAGUGUAAAACAACAUAAAGCAAUGAUCAGUGGCUUGCACUAAAAAAAGAAGAUUAAAUUGGAAAGUUUACUGAAGGCUACAGAUA
rnacentral:lncRNA from 1 species